rnacentral:rRNA from 1 species
AGCAGUAGCCACGGUAAUACGUAGGGUGCAAGCGUUAAUCGGAAUACUGGGCGUAAAGCGUGCGCAGGCGGUUCGCUAAGACAGAUGUGAAAUCCCCGGGCUUAACCUGGGAACUGCAUUUGUGACUGGCGGGCUAGAGUAUGGCAGAGGGGGGUAGAAUUCCACGUGUAGCAGUGAAAUGCGUAGAGAUGUGGAGGAAUACUGAUGGCGAAGGCAGCCCCCUGGGCCAAUACUGACGCUCAUGCACGAAAGCGUGGGGAGCAAACAGGAUUAGAUACCCGGGUAGUCCCUGUCUCUUAUACA